AGUGAACGCUGGCGGUAGGCCUAACACAUGCAAGUCGAACGGCAGCACAGUAAGAGCUUGCUCUUACGGGUGGCGAGUGGCGGACGGGUGAGGAAUACAUCGGAAUCUCCUUUUUCGUGGGGGAUCACGUAGGGAAACUUACGCUAAUACCGCAUACUACCUACGGGUGAAAGCAGGGGAUCUUCGGACCUUGCGCGAUUGAAUGACCCGAUGUCGGAUUAGCUAGUUGGCGGGGUAAAGGCCCACCAAGGCGACGAUCCGUAGCUGGUCUGAGAGGAUGACCAGCCACACUGGAACUGAGACACGGUCCAGACUCCUACGGGAGGCAGCAGUGGGGAAUAUUGGACAAUGGGCGCAAGCCUGAUCCAGCCAUACCGCGUGGGUGAAGAAGGCCUUCGGGUUGUAAAGCCCUUUUGUUGGGAAAGAAAAGCAGCAGGUUAAUACCCCGCUGUUCUGACGGUACCCAAAGAAGAAGCACCGGCUAACUUCGUG
rnacentral:rRNA from 1 species